rnacentral:lncRNA from 1 species
UUUUGAUAUUGCUGUUGACUCCUGGUCAUUUGAUUAAUUUGUGUGUUACUACGAUUGCUACUACUGUGCAUUAUUCCUUGUAACGCUCACCCUCCAGAACCAGAAAGUAAUGAAGAUCAUCGGGAACUUGGAUUGUUUGAGAUGCUAGAAAUGGAAAGGGACCAUGAGUGGUUGACAGAAAGGUAUGGAACAUGCACCACUUCUGUUGAUUUUUGCUUUUUGGAGAGAGAAAAACAUGAGGGCUUUGAUGGGAUUGGAAAUCCUGCAGGAGAACCAGAGGCAUCUUGUUUUCAUUUUUCUGGAGUAUCCAAACUAUCCUGAAUGGGUGGGUCUUUUUGAUAGCUCACUAUUCUCCAUAUCUCUGUAUACAAUUCGUUCACUGGAUCUUCCCCAAUUUCGUCUCUUAGUAAAACCAUUUUGAUUGAACAAAAAAAAUCUGUCCCAGGCUUAUUACUAGAAUUUUACAUGAAGUAAAAAAAAAAAGCCAGCUUUAAAGCAUCUGUAAGCCCAUAAGGAAUUAAUAGGUUAUGGAAGAAUAGAGUAUCUGCCAACCCUGGUUGCCACAAGGCUCUACUUAAUUAUUUUGGAUUGUUAUUCAUCUUUUACUAUUACACAUCAUCUCUGAAAAAUUGUCUGCAUGAUGACCCAGUCAUCUCAGCAGUGGAACAAUUAAUUUUAUGUAC